rnacentral:rRNA from 1 species
GAUGAACGCUGGCGGCGUGCCUAAUACAUGCAAGUCGAGCGAACCACUUCGGUGGUGAGCGGCGAACGGGUGAGUAACACGUAGGUGAUCUGCCCAUCAGACGGGGACAACGAUUGGAAACGAUCGCUAAUACCGGAUAGGACGAAAGUUUAAAGGUGCUUCUGGCACCGCUGAUGGAUGAGCCUGCGGCGCAUUAGCUAGUUGGUAGGGUAAAGGCCUACCAAGGCGACGAUGCGUAGCCGACCUGAGAGGGUGAACGGCCACACUGGGACUGAGACACGGCCCAGACUCCUGCGGGAGGCAGCAGUAGGGAAUCUUCGACAAUGGGCGAAAGCCUGACCGAGCAACGCCGCGUGAAUGAUGAAGGCCUUCGGGUUGUAAAAUUCUGUUAUAAGGGAAGAACGACUUUAGUAGGAAGUGGCUAGAGUGUGACGGUACCUUAUGAGAAAGCCACGGCUAACUACGUGCCAGCCGCCGCCGUAA